rnacentral:rRNA from 1 species
GACGAACGCUGGCGGCGUGCCUAAUACAUGCAAGUAGAACGCUGAAGGAGGAGCUUGCUUCUCUGGAUGAGUUGCGAACGGGUGAGUAACGCGUAGGUAACCUGCCUGGUAGCGGGGGAUAACUAUUGGAAACGAUAGCUAAUACCGCAUAAUAGUAGAUGUCGCAUGACAUUUGCUUAAAAGGUGCAAUUGCAUCACUACCAGAUGGACCUGCGUUGUAUUAACUAGUUGGUGAGGUAACGGCUCACCAAGGCAACGAUACAUAGCCGACCUGAGAGGGUGAUCGGCCAAACUGGGACGGAGAAACGGCCCAGACUCAUACGGGAGGCAGCAGUAGGGAAUCGUCGGAAAUGGACGGAAGUCUGACCGAGAAAAGACGCGUGAGUGAAGAAGGUGUUCGGAUCGUAAAGCUCUGUUGUAAGAGAAGAAAGAGUGUGAGAGUGGAAAGUUCACACUGUGACGGUAUCUUACCAGAAAGGGACGGCUAACUACGUG